rnacentral:rRNA from 1 species
GAAACCAACAGGGAUUGCCCUAGUAACGGCGAGUGAAGCGGCAACAGCUCAAAUUUGAAAUCUGGCUCUUUUAGAGUCCGAGUUGUAAUUUGCAGAGGGCGCUUUGGCGUUGGCAGCGGUCCAAGUUCUUUGGAACAGGACGUCACAGAGGGUGAGAAUCCCGUACGUGGUCGCUAUCCUUCGCCGUGUAAAGCCCCUUCGACGAGUCGAGUUGUUUGGGAAUGCAGCUCUAAAUGGGAGGUAAAUUUCUUCUAAAGCUAAAUACUGGCCAGAGACCGAUAGCGCACAAGUAGAGUGAUCGAAAGAUGAAAAGCACUUUGGAAAGAGAGUCAAAUAGCACGUGAAAUUGUUGAAAGGGAAGCGCUUGCAGCCAGACUUGCCUGUAGUUGCUUAUCUGGACUUUUGUCCAGUGCACUCUUCUAUAGGCAGGCCAGCAUCAGUUUGGGCGGUUAGAUAAAGGUCUCUGUCAUGUACCUCUCUUCGGGGAGGCCUUAUAGGGGAGACGACAUGUAACCAGCCUGGACUGAGGUCCGCGCAUCUGCUAGGAUGCUGGCGUAAUGGCUGUAAGCGGCCCGUCUUGAAACACGGACCAAGGAGUCUAACAUCUAUGCGAGUGUUUGGGUGUCAAGCCCAGACGCGUAAUGAAAGUGAACGGAGGUAGGAACCCUUUGGGUGCACUAUCGACCGAUCCUGAUGUCUUCGGAAGGAUUUGAGUAAGAGCAUGGCUGUUGGGACCCGAAAGAUGGUGAACUAUGCUUGAAUAGGGUGAAGCCAGAGGAAACUCUGGUGGAGGCUCGCAGCGGUUCUGACGUGCAAAUCGAUCGUCAAAUUUGGGCAUAGGGGCGAAAGACUAAUCGAA